CAAUUUGCAGGAGGCUGUGUGGGAUGCUGAUGUUGUCAUUAAUGGGUUGCCAUCAACUGAAACCCGCGAGGUGUUUGAGGAAAUUAGUAGAUAUUGGAAGGAGAGGAUUACGGUACCAGUUAUUAUAUCUUUGGCAAAAGGCGUAGAGGCUGAGUUGGAGCCUGAGCCUCGCAUAAUAACUCCCACUCAAAUGAUCAAUCGAGCAACUGGAGUUCCAAUGGAGAACAUCCUCUAUCUUGGAGGGCCUAACAUUGCCUCAGAGAUAUACAAUAAGGAAUAUGCUAAUGCCCGAAUAUGCGGAGCAGAAAAAUGGAGGAAACCUUUGGCAAAGUUUUUGAGGCAACCCCAAUUUAUAGUGUGGGAUAAUGGUGACCUUGUUACUCAUGAAGUCAUGGGUGGCUUAAAAAAUGUCUAUGCCAUUGGAGCUGGAAUGGUGGCAGCUCUUACAAAUGAGAGUGCAACUAGUAAAUCAGUAUACUUUGCACACUGCACAUCAGAGAUGAUAUUUAUCACACAUUUGCUGGCAGAAGAACCUGAGAAACUUGCUGGUCCCCUGUUGGCUGAUACUUAUGUAACCUUGUUGAAAGGUCGCAAUGCAUGGUAUGGUCAGCAGCUGGCCAAAGGGGAGUUGAACCUUGAAAUGGGUGAUAGCAUUAAGGGAAAGGGGAUGAUUCAGGGUGUCUCUGCAGUGAAAGCAUUUUAUGAACUGCUAAGUCAGUCCUGCUUAAGUGUCCUGCAUCCUGAAGAAAACAAGCCUGUAGCUCCUGUUGCGCUUUGCCCCAUAAUGAAGAUGCUAUAUAGAAUACUUAUAACGAGGGAGUUUCCUGCACGGGCCAUUCUUCAAGUAUUAAGGGAUGAAACAAUGAAUGACCCAAAAGAUCGCAUUGAGAUAGCCCAAAGCCAUGUUUUCUAUAGACCGUCACUCCUGGGACAGAAACCUUGAUGAUGUAAUACCUACCGUUUGCAUGUUGUGUUGCCACUUGUCAACAGAUCCAUGUAAUAAGCUAUCUAAUGUAGUUCCACUCUUCACAGUUUUAGGUUUCGAAGCUAAACUUUUAAGAUAAAAAGGGUAGGUUGCAAGUUGGUUGUUGUGUUGUAUCAAUUCCUUUAUUUGUUGAGUUUGGCCUAUUCGAGUGCAAUGAACAGGCUUGCAUUUUAUUUUUCAGGGCG
rnacentral:misc_RNA from 1 species